ensembl:lncRNA
AAUGCUCAAGACAGGUGAGCUACUUAAGUGCAUAAUCAAGUAGAAUGAGGUGAAAAUAAGAGGAAGUAUUAUCAGUAGAUAUUGCAAGAGCAAAAGAAUAUCUGUGAAAAAAAAAGCCAUAGUAAAAAAUAGAAGUAUUAACCUUAAAGGUCAGUGUUGGAAUAUGAUCAAGUUAGUAUAGAUUCUCCACGAAUCUGUAUAGUCUGGAAAUUUAGAAGCUGUCUUACCACCAAAAACAAAACAAAACAAAAAACUCUAAAGCAAACAAACAAACAAACAAACUUCCUUAGGCCGGUAAGUUGACUGUAAUCAAAGGUUUCCAUGGAGCUUUCAUUAGUUUUUGAAUAGUAUCCUAGGUGAGGGAUAAAUAGGAGCAUUCUAUAUGAAAUAGGGGUUAUUACCAAGCCUGGUGUUAUAUUUUAACCUAGGUCCCUUGUAUUGGACACUAUUCAGGGUUGAUGUUUUGUGUUUUGAGCAGGUAGAUGAGAGAAAGUAGUCAAUUUUGCAUUGUUCAUAUACCUUUUAGUAUAUCAGAAAGUAAGGCAUCUUAGAUAUAAUAUCUUGAUUUGAGCAGUGAAUGACAUGAUAAGAAUAAGAGUAGGUAGGAAAUUUUAAGCUGCUUUAUUGUUCAGCUAGACAACUUACCAUCUAUGUCAGUCCUAUAUUAAGAUUUCAGUGUUGAUCUUUCCUAAUAGCUUUGUACUGAAGUUGAACUGAAAGUAGUGACUUACUUAUCUCUUGUCAGAUGGGGGUGAUGAAGUGGAAAAGAUGGGCCAUGACAUUUGCAGAAACGUGAUCUUAAUCAUAUGGAGCUGGGAGCUCAACUUGAUGAUCCUUGUGGGUCCCUUCCAACUCAGGAUAUGAUUCUAUGAUAUGAUUCUAUGAUACUUUUCUGCUGUUGUCAGCAUUUAUACUGCCUCUGCAACAAUAGACAUACAAAAAAAUGCUGUUUAAUUUGUAUAGUUAAAUUUUCUGUACUCCAUAAAGAUCAACAUAAUACAAUCAGACAAGGCAUAAUUCACCUGAUAUAUUAGCGGAAAUUUACUUAAGUAUUUUGUUUUUGUUUUUAUAUGUCAAUGUAGUCAAAUCUGACUGACCACUCAUUUUCUAAUACUACUGAAAAUAUGCCAUAGAAACUUUAUAAAAUGCUUUUUCCUCUACGGGCUUUAAUAGAUCUGUAUGCAAAAUGCAGUAACAUGCAAGGUUCUCCAAGAGCAGUCUGAAAUAACUAGUUGGUAACUUGGUUACCUGGUGUUCUUCAGUCUGAACUAAGGCAUUUCUCAGACCAUUGUAUUUUUCCUUCUUUGCACAACAGUAUAUUUGCCAUCAAAGUAAAACAAUUUUCAUGAUGCAGUCAAUUGUGUUUCUACUGCACCAAGCACCAAGUUCAAUUUUGGAAAAUAUCAUUUGUAAGGAUGUUAGGUGGCAUGUUUUGACUAUUCUUCAGGAUUUUUGUUUUAUGGAAAAGAUGAUUUGAGAAUACCUUUAAAAUUUAAAAUUGACUAAUGAAGGAAACACAUACAAGAGCUGUCUCUGGGCCAGAUGCUGUAGAUGGUGAGACUGUAAAGUACUUAUAUGUGUUUUGUCCUGAAACAGUGUUAUUACAGGUAGUGUGUCUGUUGAACAAACAGAGUCCAAUGAUUUUUAUAUCUGAUAUUCUUAAUGUGAAAGGGCUAUCUGGAAACUGGAUAGAAAUUGUACAUGUUAAGUUAUCCUGCUACAUAUUUUUUCUCGAGCCAUUAUGUAAUAUUGAUAUGAUCAAUGAAUACAGGGGAUUCCAGUCACAUACCUCUUCAGGUACUACUGUUGAAAUAAUUCCAUGACUGUAUGUACAUACCUUGUAGGCAACCAGUUGUAACAGAAAGACAAGCACAAAUUAGCAUGAAAUUUAUCAAUAAAAAUACUGGUCAAUGAUU